UACGGAGGGUGCGAGCGUUAAUCGGAAUUACUGGGCGUAAAGCGUGCGUAGGCGGCCUGCCAAGCCAGGUGUGAAAGCCCCGGGCUCAACCUGGGAACGGCACUUGGAACUGGCAGGCUGGAGUUGGGUAGAGGGGAGCGGAAUUCCGGGUGUAGCGGUGAAAUGCGUAGAUAUCCGGAGGAACACCAGUGGCGAAGGCGGCUCCCUGGACCCAAACUGACGCUGAGGCACGAAAGCGUGGGUAGCAAACAGG
rnacentral:rRNA from 1 species